CCGAAAUUUUUAGUGAAAUUAGAAUUUGAGCAUAGUCAAUUCUUGUUGACCCGUGACUCAAAUACAUGCCUAAUGGAAAGUUUAACUUUCUAAUCGGUUAAUUAGACGAGAUGAGAGCGAAUAGAUCUGCUAAGAAAGUGGACUUUUCGAUGUGUUAAAUAUUUCUUUUAAUUGAAGCGCUGCUAAUUAUAACAUAAGGAUGUUAUAAUUAAUGAGUAAUGACGAGAGAUAAUAAUUGUUAUAUUGAUUAACAAUCAAGAGAGAUGAACAUUAGAGAUACUAAUGUUUCAUAAAAGAGAUUAGAUUAUUAAUCGAGGUUUCUUUUAUAACUUCUCACCAAUUCUUCAUAACGAUGAAGGUCCUUUUGGGAAGUAACGACUUGAGGGAGAGAGUGACGUUACUCAUUGAUACAGAGACACAACGAGGUUGAGCUGAUGUGAUGAUGGUGCUGCAAUGAGCGGAGUCUCCAGGGUUGUUAAUAAAUAGUUAACCUGUCUAGAAUAUGUCUUCAUACAUAUGUCUAGCUACUUUCCGCUGCAAGAUGUUGUUGAUGUUAUAGUAUGUUAUGUCAUACUUUGAGUCUUAAGAGAAUGGUUUCAUACGAUGUAUAACUUGAUUAAUGAUAUUAAUUAAGUUUUAUGCUGUCUUUCA